AUGAAUGCUACUUUAGUUCCGGUGUCAAGGGUGUGUGCCAUCGCUUUCUUCGAUGACAUCCUUGUCUUUAGCGCUACCCUGGAGGACCACUUGAGAGGCUUGGAGCAGGUGCUAGGACUGGUGAAGAAGGACCAGUGGCAAGUGAAUGAAUCAAAGUGUUUAUUCGCCCAGCAGCAGCUAUAGUACUUGGGUCACCGGAUCAGUGCGCAGGGGGUGGCAACUGAGGAAGACAAGGUUGAGGCAGUCAAGAAGUGGCCGACCCCCGUGACAGUGAAGGAACUCCGCGGGUUCCUAGGGCUCACAAGGUACUGCCGCAAGUUCCUGAGGCAUUUUGGUAUGAUUGGUCGUCCGUUGACUCAACUGUUGCGAAAAGGAGCGUUGUUUGUUUGGACUGAGAAACACCAGUCCGCGUUCGAAGCCCUCAAGGAAGCUCUGAUCACGGCCCCUGUCCUUGCACUAUCUGACUUCACGAAGACCUUUGUGGUGGAAACGGACGCGUGUGACAAGGGAAUAGGGUAA
rnacentral:rRNA from 1 species